rnacentral:rRNA from 1 species
UACGGAAGGCAGCGGUGGGGAAUAUUGCACAAUGGGCGCAAGCCUGAUGCAGCCAUGCCGCGUGUAUGAAGAAGGCCUUCGGGUUGUAAAGUACUUUCAGUCGUGAGGAAGGUGUUAAGGUUAAUAACCUUAGCAAUUGACGUUAGCGACAGAAGAAGCACCGGCUAACUCCGUGCCAGCAGCCGCGGUAAUACGGAGGGUGCGAGCGUUAAUCGGAAUUACUGGGCGUAAAGGGCACGCAGGCGGUUAAUUAAGUUGGAUGUGAAAUCCCCGGGCUUAACCUGGGAAUGGCAUUCAAGACUGGUUAGCUAGAGUCUUGUAGAGGGGGUAGAAUUCCAUGUGUAGCGGUGAAAUGCGUAGAGAUGUGGAGGAAUACCGGUGGCGAAGGCGGCCCCUGGACAAAGACUGACGCUCAUGUGCGAAAGCGUGGGGAGCAAACGAGGGAUUAGAUACC